rfam:Firmicutes bacterium CAG:137_57_8 Ley3_66761_scaffold_11860, whole genome shotgun sequence.
UGUAUGCGAUGAUGCAGGAGAUUGCGGCCUUUGCCGGUAACUUCUGCGGAGUAUGUCCGGUCAUCGGGCGGCUG